AGGACGAACGCUGGCGGCGUGCCUAACACAUGCAAGUCGAGCGGGGACUUUGCGACUGAGUUGAAGACUUCGGUUGAAUAUGAAGAUGUAAAGUUCUAGCGGCGGACGGGUGAGUAACGCGUGAGCAACCUGUCCCUUACAGGGGGAUAACACAGCGAAAGUUGUACUAAUACCGCAUGAGACCACAGAGUGACAUCACUCAGGGGUCAAAGGAGCAAUCCGGUAAGGGGUGGGCUCGCGUCCGAUUAGAUAGUUGGUGAGGUAACGGCCCACCAAGUCGACGAUCGGUAGCCGACCUGAGAGGGUGAUCGGCCACAUUGGGACUGAGACACGGCCCAAACUCCUACGGGAGGCAGCAGUGGGGAAUAUUGGGCAAUGGGGGAAACCCUGACCCAGCAACGCCGCGUGAGGGAAGAAGGUUUUCGGAUCGUAAACCUCUGUCCUUGGUGAAGAGUAAGAGACGGUAGCCAAGGAGGAAGCCCCGGCUAACUACGUGCCAGCAGCUGC
rnacentral:rRNA from 1 species